CAGUUCUCACACCACCGCCACGCUCUCUAUCCAUUUUGAUUCAGAAAAUGGUGGGCAACAGGGCAUGCUGGGGAGGUGGGCGGGAACCAUGCGUGCGUGCCAGCUUCCUAUUGCGGAGGAUGUGGGUGUGUUGAGCGGAAGGUUACGAAAGAGAGGGAAAAGAUGGUCUUUUUUCAAAAGAAAAUUCCUGACAUGAUAACACACCAGAAGAUGUCAUUUCGGGGAUCUUCAUGUCUCCAGACCAGUCUUCAGGGAUAUGGCAGCCUGAUGGAUGCUAGAUUC